AAGAAUUAUUAAGCGCCAGAACUUAAUGAAAGUGCACACCUUGUGCAUGUCCAUAUCUCUAUUGGGACUUUAAGUUGACGAGGAUGGGGAGUAUCGAAGACUUCGGCGGAUGCCCCACGGUAAGACACUACCGUUAACCAUUGGUAAAGCCAAGGAGCAAUUCUUGGAACAAAUUCAAUGUGGUGAUUAAA
rfam:Clostridium cadaveris strain NLAE-zl-G419 genome assembly, contig: Ga0070261_108